AGAUGGAGGCAUGCUGCUAGCUCCUGAGGCGGGAGAGCCUGCGCACCAGGAUCCGGAGGCCAACCAAGCUGGAACACUCCCUGAUACCCUGAUGGAGGACGUCACAGGAGAACAGACCGGAGGACCCCCCGCAGCAGAGAACCUGGCAUUUAUGGUGGAGAUUGGCUUGAACCAAAAUCCUGGAACCACACUCUGAGGGAUGUGAAAUCUGAAUCAAGAACUGAAUGUAGGGAUUAUCUGCGCACCUCGGGUACCUUUAAUGGACCUGUACCUGGGUGGUAGAGGAGGACCAUCCCGACACUAAAGCAGGGGAAUGGAUGCACCGUGGAAGAUGAAGUGACCGAUCAUUGCCAAUU